AAAACGGAAUUAACCCCUCCCCAGCCGUGGCGCUGCCUAGCCACUGCCUUCCGUGGAGCGCUAAAAGCAGGAGCCCCCGAAAUCAACGGGAAAUCUCAGGCUCUCAGAAAGGCAAGGUUUUGCUCAAGACCGCUUACCUUAUGGAUGGAAAAGUCAAAACCAGAGCUGUAAUACUAGUCUGGCGCUUACUGCACUUCUGUGCAGCCCUUUAGAAAUUCCGACUGCAAGGGUAAACCCACACACCUCCAAGGAACUUUUAUCCAAGAGGAACUUCAUAAUGUCCCUUUUUCCCUUUUCCUGAGACUGCCAGGACAUCAAUUCCUAUUAUCACCUCACUCUCGCCUCUGGUACUUUCUCCUCAUAGAUAAUUUCGGAUCAUCCCCUUUAAAACAAUAUUUCGUGGCUGCUCUUUAAAAAGGUUUUACUGGCAAUGAGUUUAACUAUGACAAGCUCGUAUUCUGACUCUAACGGUAUUUUCUUUUUGACACGAUAGUGAUUUGACUAGUUCUCUUCGGGCACACUUGUAAUCGAGUAUGAGUGCCACCUAUCAAAGGAGUUUCAGCAAAGACAAUAAAGGUUUAUAAAAUAAAGUGUAGGCUGAGUAAAGAA